UUAAGCGACUAAGCGUACACGGUGGAUGCCCUGGCAGUCAGAGGCGAUGAAGGACGUGCUAAUCUGCGAUAAGCGUCGGUAAGGUGAUAUGAACCGUUAUAACCGGCGAUUUCCGAAUGGGGAAACCCAGUGUGUUUCGACACACUAUCAUUAACUGAAUCCAUAGGUUAAUGAGGCGAACCGGGGGAACUGAAACAUCUAAGUACCCCGAGGAAAAGAAAUCAACCGAGAUUCCCCCAGUAGCGGCGAGCGAACGGGGAGGAGCCCAGAGCCUGAAUCAGUGUGUGUGUUAGUGGAAGCGUCUGGAAAGGCGCGCGAUACAGGGUGACAGCCCCGUACACAAAAAUGCACAUGCUGUGAGCUCGAUGAGUAGGGCGGGACACGUGGUAUCCUGUCUGAAUAUGGGGGGACCAUCCUCCAAGGCUAAAUACUCCUGACUGACCGAUAGUGAACCAGUACCGUGAGGGAAAGGCGAAAAGAACCCCGGCGAGGGGAGUGAAAAAGAACCUGAAACCGUGUACGUACAAGCAGUGGGAGCACGCUUAGGCGUGUGACUGCGUACCUUUUGUAUAAUGGGUCAGCGACUUAUAUUCUGUAGCAAGGUUAACCGAAUAGGGGAGCCGAAGGGAAACCGAGUCUUAACUGGGCGUUAAGUUGCAGGGUAUAGACCCGAAACCCGGUGAUCUAGCCAUGGGCAGGUUGAAGGUUGGGUAACACUAACUGGAGGACCGAACCGACUAAUGUUGAAAAAUUAGCGGAUGACUUGUGGCUGGGGGUGAAAGGCCAAUCAAACCGGGAGAUAGCUGGUUCUCCCCGAAAGCUAUUUAGGUAGCGCCUCGUGAAUUCAUCUCCGGGGGUAGAGCACUGUUUCGGCAAGGGGGUCAUCCCGACUUACCAACCCGAUGCAAACUGCGAAUACCGGAGAAUGUUAUCACGGGAGACACACGGCGGGUGCUAACGUCCGUCGUGAAGAGGGAAACAACCCAGACCGCCAGCUAAGGUCCCAAAGUCAUGGUUAAGUGGGAAACGAUGUGGGAAGGCCCAGACAGCCAGGAUGUUGGCUUAGAAGCAGCCAUCAUUUAAAGAAAGCGUAAUAGCUCACUGGUCGAGUCGGCCUGCGCGGAAGAUGUAACGGGGCUAAACCAUGCACCGAAGCUGCGGCAGCGACGCUUAUGCGUUGUUGGGUAGGGGAGCGUUCUGUAAGCCUGUGAAGGUGUGCUGUGAGGCAUGCUGGAGGUAUCAGAAGUGCGAAUGCUGACAUAAGUAACGAUAAAGCGGGUGAAAAGCCCGCUCGCCGGAAGACCAAGGGUUCCUGUCCAACGUUAAUCGGGGCAGGGUGAGUCGACCCCUAAGGCGAGGCCGAAAGGCGUAGUCGAUGGGAAACAGGUUAAUAUUCCUGUACUUGGUGUUACUGCGAAGGGGGGACGGAGAAGGCUAUGUUGGCCGGGCGACGGUUGUCCCGGUUUAAGCGUGUAGGCUGGUUUUCCAGGCAAAUCCGGAAAAUCAAGGCUGAGGCGUGAUGACGAGGCACUACGGUGCUGAAGCAACAAAUGCCCUGCUUCCAGGAAAAGCCUCUAAGCAUCAGGUAACAUCAAAUCGUACCCCAAACCGACACAGGUGGUCAGGUAGAGAAUACCAAGGCGCUUGAGAGAACUCGGGUGAAGGAACUAGGCAAAAUGGUGCCGUAACUUCGGGAGAAGGCACGCUGAUAUGUAGGUGAAGCGACUUGCUCGUGGAGCUGAAAUCAGUCGAAGAUACCAGCUGGCUGCAACUGUUUAUUAAAAACACAGCACUGUGCAAACACGAAAGUGGACGUAUACGGUGUGACGCCUGCCCGGUGCCGGAAGGUUAAUUGAUGGGGUCAGCGCAAGCGAAGCUCUUGAUCGAAGCCCCGGUAAACGGCGGCCGUAACUAUAACGGUCCUAAGGUAGCGAAAUUCCUUGUCGGGUAAGUUCCGACCUGCACGAAUGGCGUAAUGAUGGCCAGGCUGUCUCCACCCGAGACUCAGUGAAAUUGAACUCGCUGUGAAGAUGCAGUGUACCCGCGGCAAGACGGAAAGACCCCGUGAACCUUUACUAUAGCUUGACACUGAACAUUGAGCCUUGAUGUGUAGGAUAGGUGGGAGGCUUAGAAGUGUGGACGCCAGUCUGCAUGGAGCCGGCCUUGAAAUACCACCCUUUAAUGUUUGAUGUUCUAACGUGGACCCGUAAUCCGGGUUGCGGACAGUGUCUGGUGGGUAGUUUGACUGGGGCGGUCUCCUCCUAAAGAGUAACGGAGGAGCACGAAGGUUGGCUAAUCCUGGUCGGACAUCAGGAGGUUAGUGCAAUGGCAUAAGCCAGCUUGACUGCGAGCGUGACGGCGCGAGCAGGUGCGAAAGCAGGUCAUAGUGAUCCGGUGGUUCUGAAUGGAAGGGCCAUCGCUCAACGGAUAAAAGGUACUCCGGGGAUAACAGGCUGAUACCGCCCAAGAGUUCAUAUCGACGGCGGUGUUUGGCACCUCGAUGUCGGCUCAUCACAUCCUGGGGCUGAAGUAGGUCCCAAGGGUAUGGCUGUUCGCCAUUUAAAGUGGUACGCGAGCUGGGUUUAGAACGUCGUGAGACAGUUCGGUCCCUAUCUGCCGUGGGCGCUGGAGAACUGAGGGGGGCUGCUCCUAGUACGAGAGGACCGGAGUGGACGCAUCACUGGUGUUCGGGUUGUCAUGCCAAUGGCACUGCCCGGUAGCUAAAUGCGGAAGAGAUAAGUGCUGAAAGCAUCUAAGCACGAAACUUGCCCCGAGAUGAGUUCUCCCUGACCCUUUAAGGGUCCUGAAGGAACGUUGAAGACGACGACGUUGAUAGGCCGGGUGUGUAAGCGCAGCGAUGCGUUGAGCUAACCGGUACUAAUGAACCGUGAGGCUUAACCUU
rnacentral:rRNA from 1 species